GAAAGAGAUGGAGAAGGAGGGAGAAGAAACAGACAGGGCAGAAAGGGUGGAGGGAGGCUGGGUAAGGGGAAAAAGAGUGAGAGAGUGCGCAGGGCUGGAGGCUAAUUAAGUAAGAAAAAGGAGGAAAGAACAGUGCAAGUGACCAGAAGAGAAAGACUGAAAGAUGUAGAGGAAGAAAGAAGGAGAGAGCGGGAAAGGAAGAGAGGCAUGAUUAGAGGAAUGAGAAAGAGAAGGAAGAGAGCGGCUCGUAAGGAACAGGCAGAAGCAUCCCCAGCCCAGCUGCACAGGGAGAACCAAUGAAGGUCCGGCCAGCGCUCGGAGUGGCUAAGCCACAGCUGCAGGACAGAUGCCAACGCACGGGGAGAGAGGGGCUCCUGGGACUCACGUUAGAGGGAGAGGAUCAAACUCUCACAAUACAAGGACAAAGACUGUUUAGAGGGACCACAUGAAUUAGAUACUCACCUUAUUUAAGUGUAUCGUAUGGCACAGAUCAGCUCACCUCCUUUCUUUGCCAGUUGUUCAGCGGAGACCUAAGAUGCUAAGUACACACUGUGGCUGUCUGUGUAUUGUACAUGUAUUGCUGGUUGCCAUA